rfam:Spinacia oleracea cultivar SynViroflay scaffold5260.con0020.1, whole genome shotgun sequence.
AAGCUAUGAUGAUAUAUGCGCUUCUUGUGGCAGUUGGGUCCGCCACGUAAUGUCUGAUCUUCGGACGAAACAAAGCGUAUCUGAGCAU